GAAAGGUCUACUAUUCCACUACCCUGUUCUCUUCUCAUAAUCUAUUCCUCUGCUGCAUAGAUUUCAUCAAUUACCCAAAACCUCGCAUUCAGAUAGCUGCUUUUCUGUGUGAGUGUGUGAGAGAGAGUGCAAGGGAAAGGGACAAUGGUAGUCUCAUACCAGUCUUCAUCCAAGUUCGCUAAUUUCCAGUUCCAUCCUUCCCCUCCACUCGACCAUUUCCGUCAAAAACCAGCUGGGUUUUUCCUCUGCACCUCUGUUCGCCCUAAGUCAAAUGCUCAUAAUAGAUUCCGCUUUGGUCUUUUUCCUCUCAAACAUUCUACUUGGAGAAUUUCAAACAUAU